AGAAGGGCCCUAGCUUAGUGGCAGAGUAUCUGCUUCGCUCCCUGGAGACCUCAGGUUCAAUCCCUGGCUAUUCUA